rnacentral:rRNA from 1 species
AUAUCAGUCAUGCAUAGCAUAUCAAUAACGGAGGAAAAGAAACUAACAAGGAUUCCCUUAGUAACGGCGAGUGAAGCGGGAAGAGCUCAAAUUUGAAAUCUUCAAGGUUUACCUUGACGAAUUGUAGUUUAAAGAAGUGUUUUCUGUUGAAGUUUUGGUAAAAGUUCUUUGGAAUAGGACAUCAUAGAGGGUGAGAAUCCCGUAUUUGACCAUUACUUUCAGCUUUGUGAUACACUUUCAAAGAGUCGGAUUGUUUGGGAAUGCAGUCCAAAAUGGGUGGUAAAUUUCAUCUAAAGCUAAAUAUUGGCGAGAGACCGAUAGCGAACAAGUACCGUGAGGGAAAGAUGAAAAGAACUUUGAAAAGAGAGUUAAACAGUACGUGAAAUUGUCAAAAGGGAAGCGUUUCGACACCAGUGUUGUUUUCUCGAAAAUCAAUUAAAAAGAGUUGGAUUUUGUGUUGUAUUGACUUUAUCGGCUUUCUUCACUCUUUUCCAGCUUUUUUUAAUGCACUUUUCGUUUAACAAGUCAACAUCAGUUUCUUUUGUUGUAAAAAGGUCAUUGGAAGGUGGCUUUCUCUUCGGAGAAAGUGUUUAUAGCCUUUGACUCAUGCAAUCGGAGAGACUGAGGUCUGCAGCGUAGAUCCUUCGGGGUUAGAUACAUUUGCGCUAAGUUAUAGCUUUUCAUAGACAACUUGUUGACUAUGUUCUAGUCUUGUAGCUUACUCGCUUAUGCUAUUUUACCUACGCUUAGGAUGUUGAACUCUAUCACACACAG